rnacentral:rRNA from 1 species
AACCCUGGUAGUCUCACGCUGUAAACGAUGUCGACUUGGAGGUUGUGCCCUUGAGGCGUGGCUUCCGGAGCUAACGCGUUAAGUCGACCGCCUGGGGAGUACGGCCGCAAGGUUAAAACUCAAAUGAAUUGACGGGGGCCCGCACAAGCGGUGGAGCAUGUGGUUUAAUUCGAUGCAACGCGAAGAACCUUACCUACUCUUGACAUCCACGGAAUUCGCCAGAGAUGGCUUAGUGCCUUCGGGAACCGUGAGACAGGUGCUGCAUGGCUGUCGUCAGCUCGUGUUGUGAAAUGUUGGGUUAAGUCCCGCAACGAGCGCAACCCUUAUCCUUUGUUGCCAGCACGUAAUGGUGGGAACUCAAAGGAGACUGCCGGUGAUAAACCGGAGGAAGGUGGGGAUGACGUCAAGUCAUCAUGGCCCUUACGAGUAGGGCUACACACGUGCUACAAUGGCAUAUACAAAGAGAAGCGAACUCGCGAGAGCAAGCGGACCUCAUAAAGUAUGUCGUAGUCCGGAUUGGAGUCUGCAACUCGACUCCAUGAAGUCGGAAUCGCUAGUAAUCGUAGAUCAGAAUGCUACGGUGAAUACGUUCCCGGGCCUUGUACACACCGCCCGUCACACCAUGGGAGUGGGUUGCAAAAGAAGUAGGUAGCUUAAC